AGAAUUGAGAUUUAAAACUUGGCACCAAAAUUUAAAAUUUUGGAUUAUUGGUGUGCUCUCGGGUAGCUGUCAGCAGGGCGGCGUACCGGUACGCAGUGAUGGCUGUACCGGUACAGCCAUCAGCGCUGGCCGCCAGUGCGCCAACCCGAGGCUCGGGUUGGGCUGGUUCGCAGGUUGUGUACCAGUACACAAACCCGUGUACCGGUACACAAUGCAGUUUGGGCUGUUUCGUGGAGGGGUGUUUUUGCAAUUAUUGCAACACCUAUUUAAGUGACCUCAGCCCCCUUAGACAGGGUUUUGAGCCCUAGUUCAGUGGAGAUCAAGGUGAGAACUCUCCUC
rnacentral:lncRNA from 1 species